rnacentral:rRNA from 1 species
GACGAACGCUGGCGGCGUGCUUAACACAUGCAAGUCGAACGCUGAAGCUUGGUGCUUGCACUGGGCUGGUGAGUGGCGAACGGGUGUGUAAUACGUGUGUCACCUGCCCUUGACUCUGGGAUAAGCCUGGGACACUGGGUCUAAUCCUGGAUACGCCACGCCACUGCAGGGUGGGGUGUGGAAAGGGUUUAAGUGGUUUUGGAUGGGCUCGCGGCCUAUCAGCUUGUUGGUGGGGUAAUGGCCUACCAAGGCGACGACGGGUAGCCGGCCUGAGAGGGUGGCCGGCCACACUGGGACUGAGACACGGCCCAGACUCCUACGGGAGGCAGCAGUGGGGAAUAUUGCACAAUGGGCGGAAGCCUGAUGCAGCGACGCCGCGUGAGGGAUGACGGCCUUCGGGUUGUAAACCUCUUUCAGCACGGAAGAAGCGAGAGUGACGGUACGGGCAGAAGAAGCGCCGGCUAACUACGUG